UCUUUCCUUGCUCACCGCCCGUCCUCUUUCAUCCAGAUCAUUGCUCGCCGCUCGUCCUCCUUCGUCUCGAUCGCCAGCCAAGCUGUGACCAGAUCUCGACGUCCUUCCUCACAUCUCAACCACGCAACCCAACGUGCCCUUAGCGUUUGCCUCCCUCUCCCUCACAAAACCAAUCAAAGUUUAUCUGUCGUCGCAGAUCUCCUCCGCCGUGCGCCCCUCUGCGUGCGGACCUCACCAGAUCCGUCGCUGUCAUCCACUCCCUCUGUUCGCCAUUCGCCGCCGCUGCCAUCGUUAGGUUUCGCCGAAUCUGGUAGGAUCCAAGAUUGGAGUACUUUGGAGUGCCAACGUGCUGCCCAGCAGAUUCAAGUUCGUUCGGCAAGUAGUUUGUACUUUGAAGGUUCCAAGUUGUCGUCCAUUGGGUUCUAAAAUCUGCUAAGAGGAGAUUUGAAGUCGAAAUCUUGCAAGUGUUUAUUGAUUAAGUUUCGUUGGGUAAAGGUAGAGAUGCACAGAUGAUGGACAAAGGGAAUUCGUGAUCGAGCCACCGAGAUCAGUUUUAUACUUCCACUCAUGAGACUUAGAUUUCCUUUCAUGUUUUGCUUAACUUUCAGUUUUGAUAUUUGAAACCUACUAUUAAGAAUUGUUUUUAGACUUAUUUAUUAACAUUUAUGAUUUAUGGGUACCCUAUUGUUGUUUUUAAUAUUUGAAUUUAAUGAAGGACU